rnacentral:rRNA from 1 species
GGGGAAUAUUGGACAAUGGGCGCAAGCCUGAUCCAGCCAUGCCGCGUGAGUGACGAAGGCCUUAGGGUUGUAAAGCUCUUUUGGCGGGGAAGAUAAUGACGGUACCCGCAGAAUAAGCUCCGGCUAACUUCGUGCCAGCAGCCGCGGUAAUACGAAGGGAGCUAGCGUUGUUCGGAAUCACUGGGCGUAAAGCGCACGUAGGUGGGCAGUUAAGUCAGGGGUGAAAGCCCGAGGCUCAACCUCGGAAUUGCCUCUGAUACUGGCUGUCUAGAGUCCGAGAGAGGUGGGUGGAAUUCCUAGUGUAGAGGUGAAAUUCGUAGAUAUUAGGAAGAACACCGGUGGCGAAGGCGGCCCACUGGCUCGGUACUGACACUGAGGUGCGAAAGCGUGGGGAGCAAAC